rnacentral:rRNA from 1 species
UCUAGGUAACCUGUAUAAACCAAGACACUAAGAGCUAUGUUCUUCAAAUCUAAAGGAUUUGGCGGUAAUUUAGUCCAGUUAGAGGAACCUGUUUGGUAAACGAUAAACCACGAAAAAUCUUACCUACCCUCAAAGUUUGUAUACCGUCAUUAUUAGAUAACUUUUUAUGAAAAAGUUAUUUCAACAAAAUCAUCUUAAUAUAUUAGAUCAAGGUGCAGCCUAUGGGUAGGCCUUAAUGGGUUACAAUAAAACUUAUUUACAACGAAUAUAAGAUAGAAUUAUCUUAUUAAAGGAGGAUUUAAUAGUAAAUCUGGUUUAACAAGCCUAAUUGAUAGUGGAUCUAAAUUGAGUACAUAUCGCCCGUCGCUUUCAUCCUACAAAUGAAAUAAGUCGUAACAUAG